AGGAGGGAGUCAGGACUGGGCAAAUUUGUUCGAGGCCAAGGCAGCGACAUGGCGGACAUGCGAGAAGAAUCGGAGCUCAAGCGCUCGAACGACUUAGCCACAGGGUUUCUGGGAGUGAGGGGAGCUACAUCGAGCGCGAGAGUGAGCUCGGGCAUGGUUUAUAUGGACGGGCCGAGGUCCACCAUGAACAGAGCUCACAAACUGUGCUCGGGCUACUCCACAGGUGAGAGAGGAGGGCG
rnacentral:lncRNA from 1 species